GACGAACCGUGCGAACGUUAUUCGGAAUCACUGGGCUUAAAGCGCGUGUAGGCGGAUGGGAACGUCGGUAGUUGAAAGCCCCCGGCUCAACCGGGGAAGUGGUGCCGAAACGACCCGUCUGGAGGGACGUAGGGGGACCUGGAACUCCGGUGGAGCGGUGAAAUGCGUUGAGAUCGGAAGGAACGCCCGUGGCGAAAGCGAGGUCCUGGACGUCUACUG
rnacentral:rRNA from 1 species